CAGGGCACACUACAACCAUUUACCUUGACCCUUUUUCGUUUAGCUACAACAUCUAGAAGUGGAUGUUAUGCAUGUAUAGACAGCCAUGACCUGUUUAUUUCUUCUUUGUUUUUAAUUAAUAAGCAGGGUACACUACUGGAUGGUACAGUCAUUGCUGUUAAGCAGCUUUCAUCCAAAUCAAAACAAGGGAACCGCGAGUUUGUAAAUGAGAUAGGUAUGAUCUCUAGUUUACACCACCCAAAUCUUGUCAAACUAUAUGGAUGUUGUGCUGAAGGAAAUCAACUUCUAUUGGUGUAUGAGUACUUGGAGAACAAUAGCCUCGCCCGUGCUUUAUUUGGUCCAGAAGAACAUCGUCUCCGAAUAGACUGGCCAACAAGG